UACAGAGGGCUCAAGCGUUGUUCGGAUUUAUUGGGCGUAAAGGGCGCGUAGGCGGCGGGGCAAGUCGGGUGUGAAAUCUCAGAGCUCAACUCUGAAAUGGCACUUGAUACUGCUCUGCUAGAGGACUGGAGAGGAGAUUGGAAUUCACGGUGUAGCAGUGAAAUGCGUAGAUAUCGUGAGGAAGACCGGUGGCGAAGGCGGAUCUCUGGACAGUUCCUGACGCUGAGGCGCGAAGGCCAGGGGAGCAAACGGG
rnacentral:rRNA from 1 species